CCCUUUGGAGAGCGGUCAGUUUGCGCAAGGCCGCAGGACCGCGGCGUCCCCACAGAAACUGUACGGACAGCCCAGAAGCCUCUGUCCCCAAGGACACUGGACGUGAUCACCGUGGUUUUAAAGCCGACCAGUUGGUCCUUCCGGAAAUUGUUCAAGGCCUUUUGCCCUGGCAGGUUUUGCACAUUUCUCCUUGCGCCUUUUUGUCGUGUCAAGUACAUUUAUGCAUGUACAGCCUGACUUGCCCUCGGCACAUUCAGGAGAUGGGGCCAACCACAACGAUGAAACCACAGAUCUGCAAUCUGGGGCCACCUUCCACACGUGCUACUCAGCCAGCAUCUGGAGAGCAUCAAGUUGAUGGAAGCGGAGUUUCUCCCAUGACCCAACAGCACCAGAGACAGUUCAAACAUCGGGAGAGCCACAACAUUUCAGCAAAAGCACCGUUUUUGGCCAAGCCACCUUUCUGAGGUGGCCUGUGAGUAAAGGAAAGUUGCUGCUGCGUAACCUUCACGGCGGAGAUGAGGAGAGAGUGUUCGGAGCCGGAAAUCCAGCCCUCAACCCGGUGAAUGACAGUUUUAUCUAUUUAAACCACAAAGGAAGUGAUUUCAAGCCUGCGAAGGAAGGAAUCCAAAACAGCUCGCUUGGUCACCCUUUUCUCCGCGUGGUCCUCGUAACAACUCUUUGGGGUAGGCAACGCCAGUGCUUCUUGGCAACCCAACAAGCGCAGAUGCUCCCCUGCAUCCCACAGCAGUGCAAAUUGUACACAUUCCCGGCCAAAACAAAAACUGAAAACCACAGCCCCCGUCAAACGAGCAGAAUUUGGAAUGGAGGAAGACAUAAAAUGAGCAGAGCGAAAUCUGUGCGGCCCCGAGUGGCCGGUCGGCGGGCUCUCUCUCUAACUGGUGUCUCCAACAUGACGGGGUAGUGCAGUCUGCUCAGGCGGGGAUAAUCCGCAACGUGCCCCAAGCAGGAAGCAGUAAAAGUCGGCCGAACCACAGGGACUGCUUAAUUAAAGGCACAGGGGACCCUUAGACAUCUCACCUGGCAUUCCCCUCUGCCCAUGUUUUUCAUGCAGUCCUUUUAGAGUACCCAAACUCUAACCCAGCCAGCAGUAGUUCGUAGUUCUUUUAUUAUUUAUGCCUCCGGCUACCAGUCUUUUCCUUUCCAGCUGCUGUCAUUAAGACAACCUGAAUUCAAGAGGUUGUUUAAUUUAUCUUAAGCACUUAAUUCAGCGCUGCACAAAUAUUUUAAAAGUCAACAAGGCUCAGAGAGAAGGCUGAUCCUUGAAAUAAUAAAAUAUCAAGCAAGAAAAAGCGGGGGUUAAAAGGAGAGGCAGAGGAAGAGGAGAGGUUGGAAAGAGAACUUGUUCCCGCUACUUAGGAAAAAGCAAACUGAAAUAAAUGAGUUUAAAUUUGUUUUGCUUUCAGAGCAGCCCAUUAGGAUGUUCUCAUGUCCUUGCUGCCUUUUGCAAUCCCACCUUCUGCACCUUCAUCUCAGAAUUGCAUUCUAACCCGUUUGAGGGAAUGUGCUGCCAGGUACACAGGACUCGGGACAAUUUUUGCGGAGAAAAGCAGCAGCGACGGUGACGAAGUGAUAUCCACCUCGAGACCUGCCUAUGAAACUGGAUUUCUAUCACCCCGAUUGCCAUUUUCCUGGCAAAAAGACAGCACUGAAGCCAAACAGAACAUCAUUCGGCAAUGUCAGGGCUGUGGACUUGGGCGCCUCCUUCCCAGGACAGCAGCUCGCCUGACGCUCGGGCUCCCCCAUUACGACUGCCAUCCUGCUGCGCCAGCUUGGAGGGCUGCAACACGAAUGUCCCCAGAUUAUCUCAGCCUGACCCGUCGGCUCGGGUGCCAAGAUGCUGCGGUGAAUUAUGGCCGGGCAGGAGACGGCACUGGCAGCUCUCCGCCAGGCCGUCUCCGGAAGACAUGCAGCCUGGUGAGCUUGCCCUCAGCCGGGCUUCCCCAUCAUUCCUCCCGAAGCAGCGUGAUGCACAGGCCCAGACGAGGAGACGUUUCGGGGUCCUCCCCCCCCGCCCCACUCAUUCUGAGAACGCCUCGUUGGGGCUCGGAUGCUGCGAGACGGGCCCCAAACGGUCUGAGCCACGUUGCAAGGGGCGGUACGGCAUAUGACUGUUGCGCAACCCCGUCAAAAACCCGGAAGCGAGGAAUUCCCAUGCGGACGUGGAAAGUCCACAGGGCCGUGUCAGGUGCGCACAACCGGCUCCCCUUACGGACACACAAUCCAGCCAAAUCCCCGGGAUGACAACAGCAGCAGGAAGAGAACAGUCCCCUUUGUGGAGGGGAUUAAAUGCUCCCUUACCUAAUGUAUGGUUCCUCCCACGUCCAUUAUUUUCUCUUGACAGCCGGAAUUGUGCAAAGGUUAAAGCCACCCCCUGCCGCCUCCAGAUGUGCUGGACCACAACUCCCAUUGGCCGGCAGAGACGGCGUGCUGGACUAGGACCGGUUCGAUCCCCCACUCCUCCGUGGGACUUCAGGGCCUGCUCCACCCUGGCCUCCUGCGCGCUGCAGAGGAUUCUGGGAGCAUGUCAGGGGAACCGCUCGGACGGCGGCCUUCCCUUCGGGACAGCUCUGGCACACCCGACACCCUCCUGCGCCCGCCCGUUGCCGGAAAAAAAGCCAUCACAGCAGGAAGGAAGGAAGGCAGGCAGGCAGGCUGCCCUUUGAGGCCAUCAUUAAUCACUUAACAUUUCUAUCCUGCCUUGAGCAUGGAGAGGGAGGGAGACCGUGGCACCACGAGCACCCAGCAGGCUGCAGGGAAGGGGAUUCUCUGGGGUCCACUCUGGGAGACCCCGGCCCCAGCGUGAAAGCCCCCGCAGCGGACCCUUGCCACCCUGGGGAGCAGCGGUGCACCAGGAGACGUUUGCCGACGGCCACGGGGCCGCUGCGUGAAGAAGCUCCGGCGAGACGCGGCUUGUUUACUGGAAGGAUUAGCUAAAGCUGCCAAGCAGUCAAGGGGUCAAGCAGUUCUCAGAGCCCUCUCCGAAAGGCCUGGCGCUCAGCACAGAGGCCAAGGCACUGACCACGGGGAUGUGGCACCAGCCACACCACACGUUGCUCUGCACCUGCCUUCCCUGGAUGGGGGGGAUUGCAGUUCCCAUCGUUCCCACAGCCACAGGACACGAUGGCUGGGAACGAGAGGUGCUGCCAUCCAACACCUCUGGGGGUUGCCAGUCUGGGAAAGGCCGCUCAGAACUGUGCCGUGUGUCUGCAAGUGUCGGCAGCGGUUUUGUCGCCCGCUUUCACACAUCAGACGAUGGGGAAGACACGGUCCGGUCAAUGGGGUUUGAAAUUGAGCUUCGACGGCAUGAAAAAUACGGGGUGAGGGAAAAGGCGGGUGGGACUUAAGAGUUCCCUUGUGACUUUAAUUAAGCACUUCCUGUGUUGAAGCCCAUUUUACUGCUUCCUGAUCACUGAGGGUGCAGACUGGCCCUCUCUGAAGAGGCUCCCUUAAUUUCAGUGUUCCCAUGAGUAUCAGCUUUGCAUUAUUACUUCUCCUCCUCAUUUCGUGAAGUGUUUUGCAAUGCAAAAAGGAACACUGAAAAUGAAAGUUACGAGGAGGGCUCUGGAGACCCACCCAGUGCAGCCGCAGUACCAGGAGGCUCUUAAGCAAUCGGCCAGCAUAAAAAAUGGCAAACUACCAACAAUGGUCCAAAGUUUCGGCUGGACGAUGGGCUGCGUUGCCCCCUGCUCCAACCUUGCAUGCUGCAGAUGCGCUGCGAGGUACAGCUCCGUGCACCAGGCGGGCGCUGGAAGGGGGAGACCACAUCUGGCACGUGCGCUUGGCGAGGAGGAGGAGGAAGUGUCGCCCAACAUCUGUGCUUUCGCUGCUCCUGCUGUUACGGGUUGAGGGCCCAGCGCAGAGAGACUUAAUCCCGCCUGGGGUUUGGCCUUUUGUCAAAUGACUCCUCUCUCUGCAGGGUAAACAGCCAGGGCUCGUCAGGAAGGCCCUAAUUGCUAGUGACAUGAUUAAUGAAGGCAGGCGCUAAUGAGGCGAAGUGGCCGCAGAACAGGGACCCGGCGAAACGGUCUGGCCUGGCCACGGGUGGCCCGCACUGCCGAGUGACUCCCCCACGUCGGUCGGAGCCCAGCC